rnacentral:rRNA from 1 species
UACGGGGGGAGCAAGCGUUGUUCGGAUUUACUGGGCGUAAAGGGCGCGUAGGUGGCCUGUUAAGUCGAACGUGAAAUCCCCGGGCUCAACCCGGGAACUGCGUCCGAGACUGGCAGGCUUGAAUCCGGGAGAGGGAUGUGGAAUUCCAGGUGUAGCGGUGAAAUGCGUAGAUAUCUGGAGGAACACCGGUGGCGAAGGCGGCAUCCUGGACCGGUAUUGACGCUGAGGCGCGAAAGCCAGGGGAGCAAACGGG